rnacentral:rRNA from 1 species
CAGCCGCCACGGUAAUACGUAGGUGGCAAGCGUUGUCCGGAUUUAUUGGGCGUAAAGCGAGCGCAGGCGGUUCCUUAAGUCUGAUGUGAAAGCCCCCGGCUCAACCGGGGAGGGUCAUUGGAAACUGGGAAACUUGAGUGCAGAAGAGGAGAGUGGAAUUCCACGUGUAGCGGUGAAAUGCGUAGAGAUGUGGAGGAACACCAGUAGCGAAGGCGACUCUCUGGUCUGUAACUGACGCUGAGGAGCGAAAGCGUGGGGAGCGAACAGGAUUAGAUACCCCUGUAGUCCCUGUCUCUUAUAC